rnacentral:lncRNA from 1 species
AUGUCAGCAUGUGCGUGGAGGGCUGGAACCGCGCCUUCUUCAGCAUGGAUCAGAGACCGGCCAAGAGCUCUGGCAGCAGAGUCAGCUAGAGGCCAGCUGUGCUCCGGACAGGAUCAGAAGCUGGCUGUCUGUGCUUCCUUCCUUUUGCUCCUCCUCUUCAUCAGAUCCUUCUUUGUCCCUGAAAGCCAGGCCGAUGCCCAGCAGUGCACAUUCUCUUGCCCCUCCGUUCCUCUGAGGUGGCCGCAGUCUGAAGCCCCUCUGGGCCCCCUUGUGCCUGAACUGAGACACACAAGUAGAAAAGGACUCCGCAGACGGCUGCACCCGUGGUGCAAGAGGAGGCCCCGAGGCUGUUUGCUCCAGCACCUGAGCCUGGAAGGGAACACAGAAGGUGGCAGGGACAGCAGAGGGGAGAUACCUGUGUGCAGGUCCACUGGGCGUCGGGAAGGGCAGCACGGGCUGGACUGGGCUGAGGCUGGGGGGGGCCCCGGCUGUUUUGCCACCGGGUCGGGUCAGUCGGGGUGGGAGGACGAGUGGAAUGUAAACAGGCAUCUUUCCUCCGUCUUUCCCCGUGGUCCCGGCCACGCUGCGGAGACCGAGGGAGGAGACUCUGAGGCUGCCGGAACCCGGAGACCGCGAAGCGGCUGGCCGCGGCAGAGGCGACCUUGAGACAGAGGAGAACCAGAGUGGAGCGGGAGUCUGUGGGGAAGAGGGAGGGGCGGGAGGAAGGAGGGUGCAGGGAGGGGCCUCUUGUCUGUCUGUCUGUCUGUCUACCUCCCUCCGUGCCCGGAGCGAGAAGGACAGACUCGGGCCUGGGUUGGGGGGGAUGGGGCCAGUGUGCCCUUGAGCCCCGGGUUUCCCUGGGCCGAAUCGAGGUCACUCGUGUGCUCCCCGAGGAUGCAGGCGUGCUCCUGCCAGGGGCUGCUGACUCCGAAUCCCGGGGGGCACCCCUUUUCCAGCCUGGGAGAUGCCCUUCCCAGUUCUUGCUUUUCCGAGUGUUUUGGGGAGCUGGGGUGGAGCUUAGUGGUACAGCGCUUGUCUAGUAUGCACAAGGCCCUGGGUUCCACCCCCAGCACUGCAAACAAAACAAAACCAAACAAAAAACCGAAUAAAAAAAUCAAUAAUAAAUAAAACUCUUGGUCGGCCACUAAUCUACUCUAGGCGUUGGAGGUGGGAAUUCCCGUGCCUCCCUCAGGAAUUCCCGGCAAUGACUUUCCCUCACAGCCCCACCCCAUUUUGUUUUUGUAAAUUCUACACUCUUUGUCAUCUUUUUCCUGGACAAAGUAUGUGGCCUCCAAUUUUCUCUCUGUAAAGUAGGGAUAAGGAUUCCUCACCAAGUAGUUGGGACGGUGGAAUUAGAUCCCACAUGAAAAAGAGAUUUGCAAAGUGCAAAUCUGCAACCUAAAAGAGCUUAAUGUUCCCAGGAGGAGACUGAAGGGAAUAGGAAGCAGAAAGGGAGUCUGGAGGGGAGGUAGGGGGAGGAAACCUCCAGGCCCCCUAGGUGGAUUUGGGCCCUCUGGCUCUAGCAGCAGACUCACCCCUUCUUUGUCAUAGAGAAGAGGGGCUCUAGCUUCUCCCCUCCACCUCCUUGGACACUCCCAACAGGUGAGGCUGGCCUUGCUGGGGUGCCGCUGAGGAGCGAGGGGCUCCUCUCCCUGCAGGGCUGGUGGCUGGGCCCCAAGUGGCAUUGACAGGGUCAGAAGCAGGUGCGGAUGGACUGCUGACCGACCUGAGGACCAGGAUGAGUGAGGUCAGGUAAGUGUGACCCUGGGAGGAGGUGGGGUCUGGGGCAGACAGACUGCUGGCUGGCGUGGGCAGUAAGACACUAGGGCUGGCUGCCCCGCUGCCCAGACCCUGUGGCCCCCUCCUGGGCUCCAUUCCUGGCUGGCACCCACCCUCCUGGCUGAUCUUCUUCAUCCUGCAGGACAGGAGGGCCACUGCUCACUCCUUUAUGUCCGAGCAGUGCAGGAGCCCAGCUCCUUUGCAGAAGACAGGUUGUGGCAGUUGACCCCACCCAUCCCCUGGGUGGAGGGACAGAUGCUCUGUUUAGAAUUUCUUCAGGGAGAUGGCCAACAAGGGCAUUCUUUCUGUUUCUCGGGCUUCCCCAGCCAACACUGGGGGAUUAGUCAGGACAGCUGUGGAGGUGGAGGCGUGGCCUUGGGGAAAUCCUACAAGUACACAGAGUGGCCCCAGGGAAGGCGGUGGAGGACAGGAAUUGUUGGUCCUCUCCUCCUGCACUCAGGCAGGAGUCUGAUGACCUGUGUGUGCAGAUUCACCAUGGGCAGCUGGAGAUGACACGGCUCCUAGUGCCUAGGAAGCCAGCUCUGGAGAAUCUCUUUUAUGAUUGUGUGUGUGUGUGUUUGUGUGUGUUUGUGCGUGUGUGCGCUGUGGGAUGGGAGCUGUCCUUAUCCAGGGUUUUCUUGAAGUUGGAGAUCUUGAGUCUUACAGCUGUUGCAUGCUGAGGCUUUCCAUAGUCCUAUAGGAUGUGGAGGGGAAAAUAGGAUAUGGAAGAGUGUAGGAAGGGUGAAGAGGAGAGGAAGAGAGACAGAAAUGCACAGAGCUGGCCUCUCUCUCUCUCUCUCUCUCUCUCUCUCUCUCUCUCUCUCUCUCACACACACACACACACACACACACACACACACACCCCAAGGAGCCAGUGGCAGCUCUAAGCUCACUGCCUUCCCUGUCCUCCCUGGGGCAAUGUGUGCUGGGCUGCUUUAUCUCUAGGAGAGAAGGAGACGGAAACCUCGCUCAGCAUCACACGGUUCCCCCCUGCCUCGUCUGGGAGCCAGUGCAUGCAGCGCUGGUCCAAGCGUCAGUCAGUUGUGUGAGUGGGUAAGUGAUUCAUCUCUUCUAGCUCCUGAUUUCUUCAUCUGGGGGAUGAAUAAUAAUUCCUGACUUGUCAGCUUACGCACUGUCAUGAGGAUCCAGAGUGCUCAGUGAGGUGCUAGACAGGUGGGGGGGGCAGUCAUUAACAGGUUCCCUUCCAUGUGGGCCACAAGAAACACCUGUCCCUCCAGACUCAAGGACCACCUGGGACCCUGUGUGGUUGCCUUGGCAACCCAAGGCUUGGCCAGCUCCUACUCUGUCUUUGGUUUCAGCUUAAAUGUCAAUUCUACAAGGGGGUCUUCCAGACCCUUACACACAGCCCCAUUUUAUGAACCCCUGUAAUGUUCUGUGUGUUCCCUUUAGAGCACUUAUAAGUCAAAUAGUGUGGUUAUGUGUGUUAACCAUUGGUUUAACACCCAUCUUCGGCACUAGAGUAGAAGCUCCAUGAGGCAAAGGAGUCUGUACAUAUCAUGUCACCGGCAUGUGACACUGUGCCUGGCACAUGGCAGGCAGGUGCUCCAGAAAACCCUUGCUGCAUGAGCGAAGGCACUGCCGGCUGAGCACCAACCCUCUCGGCCCCCUUGCCCCAGGUCUCCUAUCCUUUAUCAUUCAAAGAACAAGUCAGCUGGGUAAUGGUUGCUCUUCCCACCCACUCAGCACUGUAGGCCCUGCCCAGCACCCAGAAAGAUCGCAGGAAAUUGCUAUAUUUAUUUAUUAUCUUUGCCCAAGGCUGCCCUCUGCUGGUUGAACAUUGCAGGGUAGCCUGGGAAGGACAGAAACCUUAGUGGUCAGAAACCAGCCUUCUGAGCCUGGCCCAGGCCUGGGAAGAAGAGGUCAGAGCUACUGAAAGGGCAUCCAGCAGAAGAGUCAUUCUGCAUCCUUCUGCUUGGCUCCCUCCUGAUCUCACAGGAGGUCCCAGCUCAGGAAGAGCAAGAAAUUAAGGAGUCUCUACUCACCUCCACUAGCACAGCUCAGGGGUAGAGAAGGGCUAACGGCUAUUCUGUCUCCUCCAUGGAGUGCUGGUGAGCUUUCAACAACCAGACUCGAAAACCAAAACCCAAGACUGGUUUAUAGCGUUUAUGGAUUCCAUGGUGUAAAUCUCCCACCACGGUCAAUUUCAAAAUACCAAUGUGAUGUUACCGAACAAGAACAGGGAAGAGAUACUAAGUAGCAGACCAUUAGAUUGAAUUUCCACCACACAGGUGCCGUGGACAUAAGUAACUUCAGGAGCAUGUUCAACAGCAAAAGACAGUAAGAUGAUUAGGAAGUGAUGAGUUUUGAGUAUUUAUUACAUUUGUUUUCAAUAUAUUUAAUGGUGAGGUUAUAUAAUUUGCUUCUCCGUAACAGCUAUGUCUAACAACUGACUUGCAAGAUUCUAGAAAAUAUGAUAAUCAGUUCUUGCAAGCCCCACAGCUAACAGCUGGCUCCAGAGCACCGCUGGCCUCUUCUCCCCUGCCCUCUCCACCCUCUGCCUCUUCCUCGUCCUCCUCCUCUUUCCUGGCUUUCCUGGCACUCUGUGUGGGCAGGAGGGAUGGGGAAUAUGAAAAAGAGCUCUACUGCAGACGCCGCUCUGCCCGGAGCCAGGAGACAUAAGGUGUUAAGGAAAGAGGAGAGGGAAACGCAAAUCUGGCUACUGAAGGACAGGGCGUCGCAGUGUGUGUGUCUGUGUGUGUGUGUGUGUGUGUGUGUGUGUGCAGGGACUGAGGUGGUGAUUUUGCAACUGGAUCACGAGGCUGUCUAGUGCUGCUUAGACUUGGGGGACAGGGCGCCAUGUGCCCUCGGUGGGCUCUACCUGGGAGGAGAGGACAGGACACUGGGGCUAGGUGAAGCGGCCAGUGGGGAGCCUGGGCAGGCAGAAGUCGGUGCCCGGGCAGAGACUGAGGUUGACAGGGUUACCGUCCAGGCAGAUGUCUUCCAGCCGCCUGCGGGUGUGUCUGUGCUCCUUGGUGUCACAGAGGGUGCCUCUCGCCAGGGUCUCUAUCACGUUAUUCUGCAAAGCACAGGCUGCAGCCGAGUCCCUGCCCAGAGGCCCCUCUCUCCGAAAGCCCACAUCCACCAUUGCCUACUCUGCCUUUCCUGGGCCACUGAGGAAACCAAGGCACAAAAUGUGGAAACCACACAGGGAGUGAGGCAAGGACACCCAUGGAGGAUGAAGGGAGAGUGAGGUGAAGGGAAGAAGGGUAGGAAGGAUGGAGGCAUUGACAGUAAGAGAAGAGGAGAGACAGAAGGUAAGAAAGGGGGGAAUGGGAAGUCAGGUAAGUGAGAUGAAAUAAAGAUGCAAAGGGAGAGAAAGUUUUAUAAAAGAAGAAGUAGAGAGGUGGGCAUGGUGACCCAUGCCUGUACUUCCAGCACUCUGGGAGGCUGAGGCAGGAGGAUCACAAGUUCUAGUCCUGCCUUGGCAACUUAGUGGCUUAGUGAGAC